rnacentral:rRNA from 1 species
UACGUAGGGUGCAAGCGUUGUCCGGAAUUAUUGGGCGUAAAGAGCUCGUAGGCGGUUUGUUGCGUCGGCUGUGAAAUCCCGAGGCUCAACCUCGGGUCUGCAGUCGAUACGAGCAAACUAGAGUGUUGCAGGGGAGACUGGGAAUUCCUGGUGUAGCGGUGAAAUGCGCAGAGUAUCAGGAGGAACACCGGUGGCGAAGGCGGGUCUCUGGGCAACAACUGACGCUGGAGGAGCGAAA